rnacentral:lncRNA from 12 species
CUCAAGAUUAAGUACCCAGCUAGUUCCCAGUAAGGAGUUAUGGAUGUUCUGGAGCACCUCCAUUUCAUCUAAGGUUUACAUUUGUCAUGUCUCCACUCCACCCACUCUAUAAAUAACCUGCCAGGGAGAACUUCUGCAUCAAAAGCCAGCCCACUGCAAUCACUUCCAGAGUGCUUCAUCCCACACUUCAAAUGAAAGCACAGAUCUGCUAGGGCCUCCUUUUAUGGAGUAGAGCCCACGAAGCUGAGCUGAGAACCCAGCUCAGAGGCACCCAUCAGUGAUGCAGUCCAUAACGCUGGAACAUAGAUGGUCAGCUUCCCAAAUUAGCCAAACCAAAUGCUACUACACUUGGCAUGGAAAAAAGGAGUGCCAGAAGUUCUCUGAACCUCCAGGCCCCUACUUUGAUCUUGCCACCAUCACCAAUUCACAAUGGAUCUCCAUGCCAGGGCUUCAUCUGCAUUCAUCAUAUGAAGUUCACUCCCUCUCCAAUCAUGCAGCCAAGAUCUCUGUAGCUAUGUUUUUCCUAGUUUCUACUAAUUUGCAAGUUUCCAUGUACUGUACCCAUUUUCUGACCUAGCUCUGGCCCAUGUCACUUAUCAAAGUUAGUAGCUUGUUUGCAUCUCCAAACCCUGGGACCUGGUGAUCUUUGCCUGGACACAUUGCUAUCUCCUUUGGGGUAUUAAAUGUGCUUCACCCCAGGCACAUACCAAAUGGGGCCCUAUUACUGUCUAGCCAAAUAAAGGAAGAUAAAAUUACA